UUGAAUAGUCCCUAAAUAGUGAAAUAGUUUUGGGAAGGAUUAGAAGAUGUAGCCUUGUUGGAAGAAGUAUGUCCCUGGGGGUAGGCUUUGAGGUUUCAAAAGCGCAUUCUCAGCCCAAUCUCUCUUUCUCUUUGCCUCUAAUUGGCAGAUCAGGAGGUAAGUUCUUUGCUACUGCUCCAGUGCCAUGCCUGCUGCCUGCUGCCCACCACGAUGAUCAUGGACUCUCACCCUCUGAAACUAAACAAAAAUUUAAAAACUGCAGUCAGUCACCAGGCAAGACUUCCAGUGGAGGGAUUGGGAUACCAACUCAGCCACAUAACCAUCGACCUACAGUCUGUCCUGCCUGAGGAUGUGCUGGGGAGAGAAGACAACAAAACUCGGAGUCUUGUGUAAAUACGAAACAGACCUGGUCAUUCUAAGUCUCUAAAAGAAGGGAAGAUUGGUGUUGGACAUGGAGUCGCAGAGCAGGCACAAACCGCCAGAGGUAUUUGGUGGUAACAUCUGGAAGGCAGCUCUCAGCACUAGUCCAUGGAUCCCUCGCUCUGGCACCCCACAGGCGUGAAGCCGGGAGGCCUGCCAUGGCUGUCACCCUGCCCAGUUGUCAUCCCAUUCCUAUCCUGUCACUCAACCACCUUGCUGAUGCUACUUCUUCCCUGUAGUGGCUCUGGAUGACUCUGCUCUGCAAACCAGUCAUGUGCUUUGAGAGGAAAAUCUUAACAGUUGAAUGAUCUUAAAAGACGGCAAGAUGAGACCAUACAUAACAAAAAGUUUGAAUGCAGAGUUUCAUAUCGUUUCCAUGUGUCUGUGUGUCUCUCUGUGUGUAUGUGUGUCUCUCUCUGUGUAUGUGUC